rnacentral:rRNA from 1 species
CGCGUAGGCGGUCCGAUAAGUCCCGUGUGAAAUCCCUCGGCUCAACUGAGGAAUGGCACGGGAAACUGACGGGCUUGAGUUCGGGAGAGGGAAGCGGAAUUCCGGGUGUAGCGGUGAAAUGCGUAGAUAUCCGGAGGAACACCGGUGGCGAAGGCGGCUUCCUGGACCGACACUGACGCUGAGGCGCGAAAGCUAGGGGAGACAACG